UACGAAGGGUGCAAACGUUGCUCGGAAUUAUUGGGCGUAAAGCGCACGUAGGCGGCUUUGCAAGUCGGAUGUGAAAUCCCUCGGCUUAACCAAGGAAGUGCAUCCGAAACUGCAGAGCUUGAGUACUUAAGAGGAUCGCGGAAUUCCCGGUGUAGAGGUGAAAUUCGUAGAUAUCGGGAGGAACACCAGUGGCGAAGGCGGCGAUCUGGGUAGAUACUGACGCUGAGGCGCGAAAGCGUGGGGAGCAAACAGG
rnacentral:rRNA from 1 species